CUCGCAGCGAAGAGUGCCGCUCCAUUCUCCGCUGCCAAAGCCGGCCGCGACAGCGACGCGACUGCGAGCUCUGCCGCCUUCCAUGGGGUUCUUGAGCGUAUGCAAAAGAUUUUUGCACAUAUUCAUCUUUUUGGCCGUUUUCGGUGCGUUUCGUGGAGCUCGCUGGCUCCUGACGGGUUCCCGCAACAUUUUUGUGCGGCAUCUGAGUUUUGAGUUUUUUGCGCGCUCUAAAGAAAUUCUGUUCCCGUGUUUUUGGAGUCUGGUUCUGGUUCCACGUCUCCGUCUUGCAUCUUUCCAGCAGAUUCCGAUACUUCCUACAUCUGCGUCACGAUAUUCUUGCUAUUUUUCGAUCCAGAGUGUAUUUUUUUUCUCGAGACGAGUGUGUGUCUGUGCAAAUGUAUCUGUAACUGUAAUUGUAUCUGUGCGAUGUCUUGGGGAAUAAAUUCGCCAAAAAAUUUCAGCAUCAUUCAGUUUCUGUCAAGUCAGAAAAAUAUUUUUUAUGUGUGCGUUUUUUUUCUGGACAGUUGUGCGCCAAAUGGCCUUGUGAAUUGGGGGGUUUAAAGGGUAUUUGCAUGUGAAACAGAUGUGCAGAUUAGUUGGAGUCGAAACAGAUGGAUCCAUCUAUGAACAACACUUUUUUUUUUGGGAUCAACGAUCGGUUGCUCCAUGUGAAUACUGUGGAAAUGUUGUGCGAAUCCCGAGUGCAAAGAACAGACUUCCAAGACCGUGAGAUGAACAGGAAGUGCAGGACUCACUACACCCCACACAUCUGGUGAAUGUGUGGCCGUCGCUGUAGACCCGUUACCAUUGCCGUGUACCCAUGGGGUACAGAGCGAGGUGCUUUUUGACUGUUUGGAACAUUUUUAAAGAUUACGUUAAAACGUUGUUGAUACUUAUUGAAAUAUUGUUUUAUUUAAUUGAAUAAUAAUAAUAAUAAUAAUAAUAACACAUAUAAUACUAUUAAUAUAAUACCAAAACGAAAACGAAGACGAUAGAAGAUCCGUCAACAUAAUACAAAUGUAAUAAUAAUAGCAGCGAUAACGAUAACGAUAACAACUUAUGUGCAAUCAUUUAAACUUAUUAUUUUGAAGCCUUCUUAUCACUAAAUAACUGAAUAAUUUGUAUAUAAUUUCCAUCAAUCAAUUCUACGACAAAACAAAAAAAAAACAACAACAAAGAUCUAACAACAACAACAUCAACAGCAACAACAACAACAUCAAGAGGAAAUAGUACAACAAAUUAAAGUUCAUCUUCAGUUGUAUGGAAAAACAAAAAGUGAUUUUCAGUUAGUUUCUCAAAAUUUAACAAACAAAAUUCACAACAAAA